rnacentral:rRNA from 1 species
UACGGAGGAUGCAAGCGUUAUCCGGAAUGAUUGGGCGUAAAGGGUCCGCAGGUGGUAGUGUAAGUCUGCUGUUAAAGAGUCACGCUCAACGUGAUAAAAGCAGUGGAAACUACACAACUAGAGUCCGGUAGGGGUAGCGGGAAUUCCCAGUGUAGCGGUGAAAUGCGUAGAUAUUGGGAAGAACAUCGGUGGCGAAGGCGUUCUGCUAGGCCAAAACUGACACUGAGGGACGAAAGCUAGGGGAGCGAAUGGG